CCUUAAUGUGCCACCUAUAUCACAUUACAGCAUGAUAAAAUGUUACACGUCUAAGCAUUUGGGAUUUAAUUGUCAGUCAUAAGCUAAAAUAGACACUGACAACAGAGCCACACAGCAGUUGUAGCAUCAGCCCCACUUUCCAUAUUAGAAUGACAUCCCAGGGCAUCUACAUGAAUGGAUUGGUCACUGAAAGUAAGUGGUGUUGAAUUCCCAAAACAGUGUUUUAACCGAGACAUUCUCCCCGUCCAGUUGUAGUAUUUUUCAGUAUCUACAACUGGCAUACUGUUUUAAUAAGUACAGGCAAAGUAACUAAACACCUAAAUUUAUAGCAUAAC